AACUAAAAAUCCUCAAUUUAACCCUUUUGUUCAAUUGGUGGACAAACUUGUUGCUGAUAAUAAGGUUUAUCACGAAUCUUAUAUUAGCAGUUCAUUUCCAUGUUCAAAUCACGCAGUCAAGUAGAUAAAAUCACUUAAAAAAUCACAAAAACUUUGAAGAUCCAGAAAUAACCCACAAUUUCAUAAAGGAUAUUGACAACUUACCACUUUAAAGUUGCAACUAUGGACAAGUAAAGCAACAAAACUGAAGGCUAUCAGUUGUGACUGACCGUCGCCGGCAUCGACGGCCGUUGCCGGCAACUAGAAGGUUAGGUUGGGGUCAAUGAUUUGAGGAAAACCAAGGAGACGGGGAGUGACCAGCGCGCACGCGAGAGAGAGAGAUGGAAGGUUAGGGUUGGGUUGUGAUAUUUCUUUCUCAUUUUCUAAUUUGAGAGCAUCAAUGGCUGAUGUUGGUCAUUGACAAUCUACGGUCCUAAUCUAUUGGGAGGAAAUUAAACAUUUGAGUGGGGAUUGAUUGGAGGAAAAUGAAAAUUUU
rnacentral:lncRNA from 1 species